CCUGGGAACUGCGUUNUGAACUGGGUGACUAGAGUGUGUCAGAGGGAGGUAGAAUUCCACGUGUAGCAGUGAAAUGCGUAGAGAUGUGGAGGAAUACCGAUGGCGAAGGCAGCCUCCUGGGAUAACACUGACGUUCAUGCCCGAAAGCGUGGGUAGCAAACAGGAUUAGAUACCCUGGUAGUCCACGCCCUAAACGAUGUCGAUUAGCUGUUGGGCAGCAUGACUGCUUAGUAGCGAAGCUAACGCGUGAAAUCGACCGCCUGGGGAGUACGGUCGCAAGAUUAAAUCUCAAAGGAAUUGACGGGGACCCGCACAAGCGGUGGAUGAUGUGGAUUAAUUCGAUGCAACGCGAAGAACCUUACCUGGUCUUGACAUGUACGGAAUCCUCCAGAGACGGAGGAGUGCCUUCGGGAGCCGUAACACAGGUGCUGCAUGGCUGUCGUCAGCUCGUGUCGUGAGAUGUUGGGUUAAGUCCCGCAACGAGCGCAACCCUUGUCAUUAGUUGCCAUCAUUAAGUUGGGCACUCUAAUGAGACUGCCGGUGACAAGCCGGAGGAAGGUGGGGAUGACGUCAAGUCCUCAUGGCCCUUAUGACCAGGGCUUCACACGUCAUACAAUGGUCAGUACAGAGGGUAGCCAAGCCGCGAGGCGGAGCCAAUCUCACAAAACCGAUCGUAGUCCGGAUUGCACUCUGCAACUCGAGUGCAUGAAGUCGGAAUCGCUAGUAAUCGCAGGUCAGCAUACUGCGGUGAAUACGUUCCCGGGUCUUGUACACACCGCCCGUCACACCAUGGGAGUGGGGGAUACCAGAAGUAGGUAGGGUA
rnacentral:rRNA from 1 species